rnacentral:rRNA from 1 species
UACGAAGGGGGCUAGCGUUGUUCGGAAUCACUGGGCGUAAAGCGCACGCAGGCGGAUUGAUAAGUCAGGGGUGAAAUCCCGGGGCUCAACCUCGGAAUUGCCUUUGAUACUGUCUAUCUCGAGUUCGGGAGAGGUUGGCGGAAUUCCUAGUGUAGAGGUGAAAUUCGUAGAUAUUGGGAAGAACACCGGUGGCGAAGGCGGCUCACUGGCCCGUAACUGACGCUCAUGCACGACAGCGUGGGGAUCAAACAGG